UACAGAGGGGGCGAGCGUUAUUCGGAAUUAUUGGGCGUAAAGGGCGCGUAGGCGGCCUUUCAAGUGACGGGUGAAAUCCCUCGGCUUAACCGAGGAACUGCCUGUCAGACUGGAAGGCUUGAGACCGGGAGAGGUGAGUGGAAUUCCCAGUGUAGCGGUGAAAUGCGUAGAUAUUGGGAGGAACACCAGUGGCGAAGGCGGCUCACUGGACCGGUACUGACGCUGAGGCGCGAAAGCGUGGGGAGCAGA
rnacentral:rRNA from 1 species